rnacentral:rRNA from 1 species
AUGCUGACGAGCGGCGGACGGGUGAGUAAUGCAUAGGAAACUGCCCAGUAGUGGGGGAUAGCCCGGGGAAACCCGGAUUAAUACCGCAUACGCCCUACGGGGGAAAGCAGGGGCUCUUCGGACCUUGCGCUAUUGGAUGUGCCUAUGUCGGAUUAGCUUGUUGGUAGGGUAACGGCCUACCAAGGCGACGAUCCGUAGCUGGUCUGAGAGGAUGAUCAGCCACAUCGGGACUGAGACACGGCCCGAACUCCUACGGGAGGCAGCAGUGGGGAAUAUUGGACAAUGGGGGCAACCCUGAUCCAGCCAUGCCGCGUGUGUGAAGAAGGCUUUCGGGUUGUAAAGCACUUUCAGUGAGGAGGAAGGCCUUAAGGUUAAUACCCUUGAGGAUUGACGUUACUCACAGAAGAAGCACCGGCUAACUCCGUGCCAGCAGCCGCGGUAAUACGGAGGGUGCAAGCGUUAAUCGGAAUUACUGGGCGUAAAGCGCGCGUAGGUGGUUAGGUAAGCGAGAUGUGAAAGCCCCGGGCUUAACCUGGGAACGGCAUUUCGAACUGUCUGGCUAGAGUAUGGUAGAGGGUAGUGGAAUUUCCUGUGUAGCGGUGAAAUGCGUAGAUAUAGGAAGGAACACCAGUGGCGAAGGCGGCUACCUGGACCAAUACUGACACUGAGGUGCGAAAGCGUGGGGAGCAA